rnacentral:rRNA from 1 species
CAGUAACGGCGAAGUUGAAGCGGCAACAGCUUCAAAUUUGAAAUCUGGCCUCGGCCCGAGUUUGUAAUUUGCAGAGGAGGCUUUAGGCGCGGCCCCAACUGAGUCCCCUGGAACGGGGCGCCACAGAGGGUGAGAGCCCCGUAUAGUUGGACGCCUAGCCUGUGUAAAGCUCCUUCGACGAGUCGAGUAGUUUGGGAAUGCUGCUCAAAAUGGGAGGUAAAUUUCUUCUAAAGCUAAAUACCGGCCAGAGACCGAUAGCGCACAAGUAGAGUGAUCGAAAGAUGAAAAGCACUUUGAAAAGAGGGUUAAAUAGCACGUGAAAUUGUUGAAAGGGAAGCGCUUGUGACCAGACUUGCGCCGGGCUGAUCAUCCGGUGUUCUCACCGGUGCACUCUGCCCGGCUCAGGCCAGCAUCGGUUCUCGCGGGGGGACAAAGGCUCCGGGAACGUAGCUCCUCCGGGAGUGUUAUAGCCCGGGGCGCAAUGCCCCCGCGGGGACCGAGGACCGCGCUCU